rnacentral:rRNA from 1 species
GGUGUGACGUGUCGGAUUUGGGCGUAAGAGCUCGUAGGCGGCUUGUCGCGUCUGCUGUGAAACCCGGGGCUCACCCCGGGCCUGCAGUGGGUACGGGCAGGCUAGAGUGCGGUAGGGGAGAUUGGAAUUCCUGGUGUAGCGGUGGAAUGCGCAGAUAUCAGGAGGAACACCGAUGGCGAAGGCAGAUCUCUGGGCCGCUACUGACGCUGAGGAGCGAAAGCAUGGGGAGCGAACAGGAUUAGAUACCCUGGUAGUCCAUGCCGUAAACGUUGGGAACUAGAUGUAGGGCCUGUUCCACGGGUUCUGUGUCGUAGCUAACGCAUUAAGUUCCCCGCCUGGGGAGUACGGCCGCAAGGCUAAAACUCAAAGGAAUUGACGGGGGCCCGCACAAGCGGCGGAGCAUGCGGAUUAAUUCGAUGCAACGCGAAGAACCUUACCAAGGCUUGACAUAUACGAGAACGGGCGAGAGAUCGUCAACUCUUUGGACACUCGUAUACAGGUGGUGCAUGGUUGUCGUCAGCUCGUGUCGUGAGAUGUUCGGUUAAGUCCGGCAACGAGCGCAACCCUCGUCCUAUGUUGCCAGCACGUUAUGGUGGGAACUCAUGGGAUACUGCCGUGGUCAACACGGAGGAAGGUGGGGAUGACGUCAAAUCAUCAUGCCCCUUAUGUCUUGGGCUUCACGCAUGCUACAAUGGCCGAUACAAAGGGCUGCGAUACCGCGAGGUGGAGCGAAUCCCAAAAAGUCGGUCUCAGUUCGGAUUGGGGUCUGCAACUCGACCCCAUGAAGUCGGAGUCGCUAGUAAUCGCAGAUCAGCAACGCUGCGGUGAAUACGUUCCCGGGCCUUGUACACACCGCCCGUCAAGUCAUGAAAGUCGGUAACACCCGAAGCCGGUGGCCUAACCCUUGUGGAGGGAGCCGUCGAAGGUGGGACUGGUGAUUAGGACUAAGUCUAAGAGGGGAAACCCGAUAAAAAGCAGAAAA